ACGUCGCUAGCCAUCACCAAUCUGUGCGUUCGCCGGCCAUCGGGGCUGGGAGCACGGCGGUAUGACGGGGGGCUGCUUUGUACAGUGCUCUCGCCCUCCUCUUCUGCCUCCUCCACGCGCGCGCGCGCGCGCGUGCGGGAAAGACGCGCGCCGCUGGGGCGGAGACCCCCAAAAUUUCCAGAAAACUUUCGCCCGGCGAGUAGCAAAAAAGGUGCAGAUCUUUCGUCGACGUCCGAGACCGUGGGUAAACAUAACCUCACCGCAGCGUGUGCCACAUUUUCGCAAUGAGAUCAACGAAGCUUGUGUGGUUUCAUCCGAGAUCUUCAUGUCAUCUUCACGUUUCAUCCAAGAUCUUCAUGUCGCCAACGCGGUCUUCUAAACGCGUGCUCAUCACGAGCACAUUUCGCCCUCUGUGACGACACAACAGUCUGGAUCAAUUCACUGACUUUUCUCAACUGACGGAAUGAAUAUGGUUAAAUUACA